rnacentral:rRNA from 1 species
GGGGUUUGACUUCGCAUGGACGAAGUCUGACGGAGCAACGCCGCGUGAGCGAUGAAGGCCUUCGGGUCGUAAAGCUCUGUUGUCAGGGAAGAACAAGUACCGGAGUAACUGCCGGUACCUUGACGGUACCUGACCAGAAAGCCACGGCUAACUACGUGCCAGCAGCCGCGGUAAUACGUAGGUGGCAAGCGUUGUCCGGAAUUAUUGGGCGUAAAGCGCGCGCAGGCGGUUCCUUAAGUCUGAUGUGAAAGCCCCCGGCUCAACCGGGGAGGGUCAUUGGAAACUGGGGAACUUGAGUGCAGAAGAGGAGAGCGGAAUUCCACGUGUAGCGGUGAAAUGCGUAGAGAUGUGGAGGAACACCAGUGGCGAAGGCGGCUCUCUGGUCUGUAACUGACGCUGAGGCGCGAAAGCGUGGGGAGCGAACAGGAUUAGAUACCCUGGUAGUCCACGCCGUAAACGAUGAGUGCUAAGUGUUAGAGGGUUUCCGCCCUUUAGUGCUGCAGCAAACGCAUUAAGCACUCCGCCUGGGGAGUACGGCCGCAAGGCUGAAACUCAAAGGAAUUGACGGGGGCCCGCACAAGCGGUGGAGCAUGUGGUUUAAUUCGAAGCAACGCGAAGAACCUUACCAGGUCUUGACAUCCUCUGACAACCCUAGAGAUAGGGCGUUCCCCUUCGGGGGACAGAGUGACAGGUGGUGCAUGGUUGUCGUCAGCUCGUGUCGUGAGAUGUUGGGUUAAGUCCCGCAACGAGCGCAACCCUUGAUCUUAGUUGCCAGCAUUCAGUUGGGCACUCUAAGGUGACUGCCGGUGACAAACCGGAGGAAGGUGGGGAUGACGUCAAAUCAUCAUGCCCCUUAUGACCUGGGCUACACACGUGCUACAAUGGAUGGAACAAAGGGUCGCGAAGCCGCGAGGUCGAGCCAAUCCCAUAAAUC